rnacentral:rRNA from 1 species
GAUGAACGCUGGCGGCGUGCCUAAUACAUGCAAGUAGAACGCAGUCGCGAACGGGUGAGUAACGCGUAGGCAACUGCCUGGUAGUGGGGGAUAACUAUUGGAAACGAUAGCUAAUACCGUAUACUACCAGAUGGACCUGCGUUGUAUUAGCUAGUUGGUGAGGUAACGGCUCACCAAGGCAACGAUACAUAGCCGACCUGGGAGGGUGAUCGGCCACACUGGGACUGGAGCACGGCCCAGACUCCUACGGGAGGCAGCAGUAGGGGAACUUCGGCAAUGGGGGGAACCCUGACCGAGCAACGCCGCGGGAGUGGAGAAGGUUUUCGGAUCGUAAAGCUCUGUUGUUAAGGAAGCGGUACUUAACCAGAAAGGGACGGCUAACUACGUGCCAGCAGCCGCGGUAAUAC